rnacentral:rRNA from 1 species
CAGUAGCCACGGUAAUACGGAGGGUGCAAGCGUUAAUCGGAAUUACUGGGCGUAAAGCGCACGCAGGCGGUCUGACAAGUCAGAUGUGAAAUCCCCGGGCUUAACCUGGGAACUGCAUUUGAAACUGUCAGGCUGGAGUCUUGUAGAGGGGGGUGGAAUUCCAGGUGUAGCGGUGAAAUGCGUAGAGAUCUGGAGGAAUACCGGUGGCGAAGGCGGCCCCUGGACAAAGACUGACGCUCAGGUGCGAAAGCGUGGGGAGCAAACAGGAUUAGAGACCCCUGUAGUCCCUGUCUCUUAUACA